GACGAACGCUGGCGGCGUGCUUAACACAUGCAAGUCGAGCGAUGAAGCUUCCUUCGGGAAGUGGAUUAGCGGCGGACGGGUGAGUAACACGUGGGUAACCUGCCUCAAAGUGGGGGAUAGCCUUCCGAAAGGAAGAUUAAUACCACAUAACAUAAGAGAAUCGCAUGAUUUUCUUAUCAAAGAUUUAUUGCUUUGAGAUGGACCCGCGGCGCAUUAGCUAGUUGGUAAGGUAACGGCUUACCAAGGCAACGAUGCGUAGCCGACCUGAGAGGGUGAUCGGCCACAUUGGAACUGAGACACGGUCCAGACUCCUACGGGAGGCAGCAGUGGGGAAUAUUGCGCAAUGGGGGAAACCCUGACGCAGCAACGCCGCGUGGGUGAUGAAGGUCUUCGGAUUGUAAAGCCCUGUUUUCUAGGACGAUAAUGACGGUACUAGAGGAGGAAGCCACGGCUAACUACGUGCCAGCAGCCGCGGUAACAC
rnacentral:rRNA from 1 species